rnacentral:rRNA from 1 species
CCUACGGGGGGCAGCAGUGAGGAAUAUUGGUCAAUGGGCGGGAGCCUGAACCAGCCAAGUCGCGUGAGGGAAGACGGUCCUAUGGAUUGUAAACCUCUUUAGGCGGGGAGCAAUGCCGGGCACGCGUGCCCGGAGGGAGAGUACCCGCAGAAUAAGCAUCGGCUAACUCCGUGCCAGCAGGCGCGGUAAUACGGAGGAUGCGAGCGUUAUCCGGAUUUAUGGGGUUUAAAGGGUGAGUAGGCGGAUUUUUAAGUCAGCGGUAAAAUGUCCGGGCUCAACCCGGGUCGGCCGUUGAAACUGGGGAUCUUGAGUGAGCGAGAGGUAUGCGGAAUGCGUGGUGUAGCAGUGAAAUGCAUAGAUAUCGCGCAGAACUCCGAUUGCGAAGGCAGCAUACCGGCGCCCGACUGACGCUGAGGCACGAAAGCGUGGGGAUCGAACAGGAUUAGAUACCCUUGUAGUC